UUGACUUCCUCGUAUUCGAAUUAUAGCAGAGGUGAAGGAACCACCCCUCCCCUGUUCCCUCUCAGCGUCUCGUUGGCCGAUGCUCAGUCUCUCGAGCUCUCACCUACAGGAGUUGGAGCUGGAUUUGGUGGCGCUACCAUUCACUCUUGGCCGCGAAGUCGUAUUUUCUCGGUUUCAGGGCAGCAUUGGAGAGUAGGAAUCACCUCUUCUUUGAACGUGGUUUUACUUAUCAAGUUUGGGAUGCCCUCAAGCUCAUUUCCCCUCUUGUAUGUCGAGGACUAUCAUUUCUAAGGAGGCUGAAUGGGUGACAAAGGAGUUUGGGGGAAAUCCUAUAGUAGCCAAGUCCUUCUUUCUUUUGUUAGAGGAACUCUUCCUCUUGUGUUUGAGUUUCUUCCUUUUGAGGGUCCUCUUUGUGUAGAAGCUCGAUUUUGGAGCUUCUGAGGAUCUUGUAUUUUCUUCCCCCUUCUCUUGUGCUUUCUUUUCUAACAAAGGUGAAAAUUAACUGAAAAAAAGGGGUAGAUUCUAUCCCCUGAUCGAA